UCCUGAAGGAACGUUGAAGACGACGACGUUGAUAGGCCGGGUGUGUAAGCGCAGCGAUGCGUUGAGCUAACCGGUACUAAUGAACCGUGAGGCUUAACCUU
rnacentral:rRNA from 24 species